rnacentral:rRNA from 1 species
GUGGCGAACGGGUGAGUAAUACAUCGGAACGUACCCAGAAGUGGGGGAUAACGUAGCGAAAGUUACGCUAAUACCGCAUACGUUCUACGGAAGAAAGUGGGGGAUCGCAAGACCUCAUGCUUUUGGAGCGGCCGAUGUCUGAUUAGCUAGUUGGUGAGGUAAAGGCUCACCAAGGCGACGAUCAGUAGCUGGUCUGAGAGGACGACCAGCCACACUGGAACUGAGACACGGUCCAGACUCCUACGGGAGGCAGCAGUGGGGAAUUUUGGACAAUGGGCGCAAGCCUGAUCCAGCAAUGCCGCGUGAGUGAAGAAGGCCUUCGGGUUGUAAAGCUCUCUUGUCAGGGAAGAAACAGCAGGGGCUAAUAUCCUUUGCUAAUGACGGUACCUAAGAAUAAGCACCGGCUA